GCGCCUGUAGCUCAGUGGAUAGAGCGUUCGGCUCCGAACCGGGAGGUCGCUGGUUCAAUUCCUGUCAGGUGUACCA
rnacentral:tRNA from 1 species